rnacentral:rRNA from 1 species
UACGAAGGGUGCAAACGUUGCUCGGAAUUAUUGGGCGUAAAGCGCACGUAGGCGGCUUUUCAAGUCCCAUGUGAAAGCCCACGGCUUAACCGUGGAAGUGCAUGGGAAACUGGAAAGCUUGAGUACUUAAGAGGAUCGCGGAAUUCCCGGUGUAGAGGUGAAAUUCGUAGAUAUCGGGAGGAACACCAGUGGCGAAGGCGGCUACCUGGACCAGCAUUGACACUCAAGCACGAAAGCGUGGGGAGCAAACAGG